CCGGCGAUGUCCGAAUGGGGAAACCCAGUGCAAUUCGUUGCACUAUCGUUAACUGAAUACAUAGGUUAACGAGGCGAACCGGGGGAACUGAAACAUCUAAGUACCCCGAGGAAAAGAAAUCAACCGAGAUUCCCCCAGUAGCGGCGAGCGAACGGGGAGCAGCCCAGAGUCUGAAUCAGCUUGUGUGUUAGUGGAACGGUCUGGAAAGUCCGACGGUACAGGGUGAUAGUCCCGUACACCAAAAUGCACAGGCUGUGAACUCGAAGAGUAGGGCGGGACACGUGGUAUCCUGUCUGAAUAUGGGGGGACCAUCCUCCAAGGCUAAAUACUCCUGACUGACCGAUAGUGAACCAGUACCGUGAGGGAAAGGCGAAAAGAACCCCGGCGAGGGGAGUGAAAAAGAACCUGAAACCGUGUACGUACAAGCAGUGGGAGCACCUUCGGGUGUGACUGCGUACCUUUUGUAUAAUGGGUCAGCGACUUAUAUUCUGUAGCAAGGUUAACCGUAUAGGGGAGCCGCAGGGAAACCGAGUCUUAACUGGGCGUUAAGUUGCAGGGUAUAGACCCGAAACCCGGUGAUCUAGCCAUGGGCAGGUUGAAGGUUGGGUAACACUAACUGGAGGACCGAACCGACUAAUGUUGAAAAAUUAGCGGAUGACUUGUGGCUGGGGGUGAAAGGCCAAUCAAACCGGGAGAUAGCUGGUUCUCCCCGAAAGCUAUUUAGGUAGCGCCUCGUGAAUUCAUCUUCGGGGGUAGAGCACUGUUUCGGCUAGGGGGUCAUCCCGACUUACCAACCCGAUGCAAACUACGAAUACCGAAGAAUGUUAUCACGGGAGACACACGGCGGGUGCUAACGUCCGUCGUGAAGAGGGAAACAACCCAGACCGCCAGCUAAGGUCCCAAAGUCAUGGUUAAGUGGGAAACGAUGUGGGAAGGCACAGACAGCCAGGAUGUUGGCUUAGAAGCAGCCAUCAUUUAAAGAAAGCGUAAUAGCUCACUGGUCGAGUCGGCCUGCGCGGAAGAUGUAACGGGGCUAAACCAUGCACCGAAGCUGCGGCAGCGACACUAUGUGUUGUUGGGUAGGGGAGCGUUCUGUAAGCCUGCGAAGGUGUGCUGUGAGGCAUGCUGGAGGUAUCAGAAGUGCGAAUGCUGACAUAAGUAACGAUAAAGCGGGUGAAAAGCCCGCUCGCCGGAAGACCAAGGGUUCCUGUCCAACGUUAAUCGGGGCAGGGUGAGUCGACCCCUAAGGCGAGGCCGAAAGGCGUAGUCGAUGGGAAACAGGUUAAUAUUCCUGUACUUGGUGUUACUGCGAAGGGGGGACGGAGAAGGCUAUGUUAGCCGGGCGACGGUUGUCCCGGUUUAAGCAUGUAGGCUGGUUGUCCAGGCAAAUCCGGAUAAUCAAGGCUGAGGUGUGAUGACGAGGCACUACGGUGCUGAAGUAACAAAUGCCCUGCUUCCAGGAAAAGCCUCUAAGCAUCAGGUAACAUCAAAUCGUACCCCAAACCGACACAGGUGGUCAGGUAGAGAAUACCAAGGCGCUUGAGAGAACUCGGGUGAAGGAACUAGGCAAAAUGGUGCCGUAACUUCGGGAGAAGGCACGCUGGUGUGUAGGUGAAGCCCCUGCGGGUGGAGCUGAGACCAGUCGAAGAUACCAGCUGGCUGCAACUGUUUAUUAAAAACACAGCACUGUGCAAACACGAAAGUGGACGUAUACGGUGUGACGCCUGCCCGGUGCCGGAAGGUUAAUUGAUGGGGUUAUCCGUAAGGAGAAGCUCUUGAUCGAAGCCCCGGUAAACGGCGGCCGUAACUAUAACGGUCCUAAGGUAGCGAAAUUCCUUGUCGGGUAAGUUCCGACCUGCACGAAUGGCGUAAUGAUGGCCAGGCUGUCUCCACCCGAGACUCAGUGAAAUUGAACUCGCUGUGAAGAUGCAGUGUACCCGCGGCAAGACGGAAAGACCCCGUGAACCUUUACUAUAGCUUGACACUGAACAUUGAGCCUUGAUGUGUAGGAUAGGUGGGAGGCUUUGAAGCGUGGACGCCAGUCUGCGUGGAGCCAACCUUGAAAUACCACCCUUUAAUGUUUGAUGUUCUAACGUUGGCCCCUUACCGGGGUUGCGGACAGUGUCUGGUGGGUAGUUUGACUGGGGCGGUCUCCUCCCAAAGCGUAACGGAGGAGCACGAAGGUUAGCUAAUCCUGGUCGGACAUCAGGAGGUUAGUGCAAUGGCAUAAGCUAGCUUGACUGCGAGCGUGACGGCGCGAGCAGGUGCGAAAGCAGGUCAUAGUGAUCCGGUGGUUCUGAAUGGAAGGGCCAUCGCUCAACGGAUAAAAGGUACUCCGGGGAUAACAGGCUGAUACCGCCCAAGAGUUCAUAUCGACGGCGGUGUUUGGCACCUCGAUGUCGGCUCAUCACAUCCUGGGGCUGAAGUAGGUCCCAAGGGUAUGGCUGUUCGCCAUUUAAAGUGGUACGCGAGCUGGGUUUAGAACGUCGUGAGACAGUUCGGUCCCUAUCUGCCGUGGGCGCUGGAGAAUUGAGGGGGGCUGCUCCUAGUACGAGAGGACCGGAGUGGACGCAUCACUGGUGUUCGGGUUGUCAUGCCAAUGGCACUGCCCGGUAGCUAAAUGCGGAAGAGAUAAGUGCUGAAAGCAUCUAAGCACGAAACUUGCCCCGAGAUGAGUUCUCCCUGAGACUUUAAGUCUCCUGAAGGAACGUU
rnacentral:rRNA from 1 species